rnacentral:rRNA from 1 species
CGGCGACGGGUGAGUAACACGUGAGUAAUCUGCCCUCGGCACCGGGAUAGCCCGGGGAAACCCGGAUUAAUACCGGAUGGCCCACCAGCCCCUCGGGGCGGUUGGAAAAGGUAGCUUCGGCCUCCGGCCGAGGAGGAGCUCGCGGCGGAUUAGCUUGUUGGCGGGUAACGGCCCACCAAGGCGACGAUCCGUAGCUGGUCUGAGAGGACGAUCAGCCACACUGGGACUGAGACACGGCCCAG